AUUAUAUUAAAAAUAAUUAUAUUAAUUAAAUUUUGUUUUAUUAUUUUAUAAAGAAUAAAUAAUUUAAAUUAUAGUUUAAAAGUAUUUUAAAAGAAUAUUGAAAUAAAUUGAAAAAUUUUUAUAUAAAAAGAAUUUUUAAUUUAAAGUACCUUGUGUAUCAGUGUUUAUUAAUUAAAAAAUAUAUUUAUAUUUUUCUCGAUUUUAAAAGAGUUAAUAAAUUAUUAUAAAUAACGUUUUAAAGUUUAUUAUUUAUAAUUUAUUAGAAAUGAAAUGUUAUUCGUUUUUAAAGGUAUCUAGUUUUUUAAGAAAUAAAUUUAAUUUAGUUUUUUAAAAGUUUUUAUUUAAUUUUUAAUAAAAAAUUUUUAUAAAAUAUUAUUUUAUGGGAUAAGCUAUAAAAUAUAAUUAUUAAAAAUAAAUAAGUUAUAUUAAAAAUACAUAUUCUUAGAAUUAGAAAUUGUUGAUAAUUUUGUUAUAAAUUAUUUUUGAUAUUAAAUUAUUUAAUGUUUAUUUUAAUUGUUUUAUUAAAAUAUUUAUUUUAAUUUUAAAAAUAAAUUAAUAAUGAUAAAAUUAGUAUAUAUUUUAUUUAAUAGAUAAUUUUAUAAUGAUAAUUUUAAAUAAAGAAUUCGGCAAAUAAUAAAUGUUCGCCUGUUUAACAAAAACAUGUCCUUUUGUAUUUAUUUAUAAGGUCUAACCUGCCCACUGAAAAAUUUAAAUGGCCGCAGAAUUUUAACUGUGCAAAGGUAGCAUAAUCAUUAGUCUUUUAAUUGAAGGCUUGUAUGAAUGGUUGAACGAAACAUAAACUGUUUCAUUUAAAUUUAUAAUAGAAUUUUAUUUUUUAGUUAAAAAGCUAAAAUUUAAUUGAAAGACGAGAAGACCCUAUAGAUCUUUAUAUUAAACAAAUUUUGAUUAUAAAGAUAUUUUUAAUUAAUAAUUUAUAAAAUAUUUUAUUGGGGUGAUAUUAAAAUUUAAUUAACUUUUAAUAAUUAUUUUACAUAAAUUAGUGAAUUUAAUGAUCCUUUAUUAAUGAUUAAAAAAUUAAGUUACCUUAGGGAUAACAGCGUAAUUUUUUUAGAGAGUUCAUAUCGAUAAAAAAGAUUGCGACCUCGAUGUUGGAUUAAGAAAUAAUUUUAGGCGCAGUUGUUUAAAAUUUAAGUCUGUUCGACUUUUAAAUUCUUACAUGAUCUGAGUUCAAACCGGCGUAAGCCAGGUUGGUUUCUAUCUUUAAUUAAUUAAAAUAUUUUAGUACGAAAGGGCCAAAUAUUUAAAAAAUAAUUUUUUUAGAAAUUGAAUUAAAUUAAAUUUUAUAA
rnacentral:rRNA from 1 species